UGUAAACAACCCUUAAUGUUGAACAAUCAUUGAAAUUCAAUUGUAUUGAAUAAACUGUAUGUUUCUGGUUCGAUCUCGGUGUAUACUCUGAGAAAUAAACUGAAAGUAACUUGUAAUAUCCAACUGACUCAAUAUAUUUCAUUUUAAUUUUCUGCAUUUCCCUUUUUUCAUUUCAUUUCAGGCCAACAUUUAUAUUUAUGGACUCUUUCACUCUGUGUAUUACUGCAAAAGAAGGAGCUAACCAAAGGAACACUCAAUGGCUGUCAAGCACGUAAUUGUGUCUACCAAAUUGGCACCUUUAUUUUUCACACUUAAGAUGCUUUUCAUCAAGAUUUGGGCGAUGGGUCAAAUAAAGUGAAGAGAUGAGAGUAAAAAGGCAAAAAGAGCAUCAAAAAGUUGAACCGAUCAUCAAUUUUAGCACUGGGUUCAGCUUAACAUCGGCAAUUUAACCAAAGACCUUUGUUUGGCUGUUCGUGAUUCGCGUGUUACAAUCACCAACGCCAUUCCUAUCAUCAUCAUCACUGUCACUUCCACCGUCAACUAGAUAAUAAUUUUUCAUCUCAGGCGUAGCUCGUUGUUUUUUAUCUUCAUCUGUCCACAGCUUAUGAUUACUAUAAUUGUCUUUAUAUUGUUAGUUUUUUUCUCUGUAACUCUAAACAUGAGCUAAACCAAUAUACUUACAUGUAAUCACCUUUCAAAUUGUUGAUUUAAUAUAUACAAAGAUGGAAGGAUAAACAAAAUCUGUUCAAUUUCAUCCUUGACUGGAAAAAAUAACUCCUCAUAAUUAAAUCAUAUCUAUUCAUGAUUAUGAAGAUUGUUAUAAUUUGUUUCCUUCAGUAAAAAUAGUAAAAAUAAAGAUGAAAUUCACAAAAUGAA